rnacentral:tRNA from 1 species
UGGGGCGUCGCCAAGUGGUAAGGCAACGGGUUUUGGUCCCGCUAUUCGGAGGUUCGAAUCCUCCCGUUCCAG